CAUGAUCUAACCAAUUGAUCUGAGAAGUUUUCCAAUUUAAAAAAUAUUUCAUACUAAAAUCUACUGUUUUACUUAGAAGAACGAUUUAUAGCCAAACAUGCUUUAAUGGUUGGAGACCGUUUAACCUUUUCCGCCAAAUUGGGUCCAGCGAAUUCAUUUAACGGGUAAUCUGAAUGUCAAGUUCGGCCAUUUGCGCGCUCCACAAGACAUUUAUACAGAGAAAUUCUCCCGAAAACAAAAAUCUUCCUUUAAUCGAUUACCGAAAACAGUGAGUUCGCAUUUCAAUUUAAUCGGAAAAGAGUUCAGAUUUAAGAUUGAAAGAUGCUGAUGGGUCAUGCUGAGGGACUAUCAAAGCUUGAGCCAGCAAAAGAUUUGUUGCUCUCUGACCCUGUCUCUGAUGUAGAUGGAGAUGAAGAAGCCGAUAUUCCCUCACACAUUCUAUACACAGCAUCAUUUAAAGAACUAGCAUCAAAAAACAUACAGUACGAUACUAUAAUAUUGUUCUCAAUAUCGCUAUGCUGGUUUUAGCAUGGGGUAUUGGGAUCAUUAUGCUGCUAUAUUUGCCUUUUAGAAGAUGUGUGAUUAAGAAGGAUAUAGCAUCAUGGAAGCUCUAUGUUACAUCGACAGAAAUAGUCUACAAGGUAUCAAGGCCUUCAUUUAUACCCUUUUGCGGAGAUAGGAAAAUUGAAAAGCAUGUACCUCUAUCCUUGGUUAUUGAUGUUAUCGUUGAACAAGGUAAAAUUACAUCUUUCAUGGUUUCUCUCUUUUACCCAAUUAAUUUUAUCAGUAGUUUAUUCUUUACUAUGUCCUAAUUGGCUUCAUUUAAAUAUCCACGCAACUCAGUUUCCUUGUCUCGUUAUUUUCUAAUGAAGAAUAAGACCAACUGUGAUAAUUGAAGUGAUAUGAGGUU